UACGGGGGGGGCAAGCGUUGUUCGGAAUUACUGGGCGUAAAGGGCUCGUAGGUGGCCAACUAAGUCAGACGUGAAAUCCCUCGGCUUAACCGGGGAACUGCGUCUGAUACUGGAUGGCUUGAGUUUGGGAGAGGAAUGCGGAAUUCCAGGUGUAGCGGUGAAAUGCGUAGAUAUCGGGAGGAACACCGGUGGCGAAGGCGGCGACCUGGGUAGAUACUGACGCUGAGGCGCGAAAGCGUGGGGAGCAAACAGG
rnacentral:rRNA from 1 species